GCGCCAGGGGGUCCGUAAGGACGGACGCCGCCCUCGUAAGGCGGAGGAGCGGGUUCGAUCCCCGCCCGGCGCU
rnacentral:tRNA from 1 species